ACCCGAGGCAGGCAUCACCCAGGAAGAACCCCAGACUCGAGAUGAUGGUGAUGAGGAGGGGCUGCUGACGCAUAGCGAGGAAGAGCUGGAGCACAGCCAGGACACAGAUGCAGAGGAUGGGGCCUUGCAGUAAGCAGCCUGACAGGAGCAUUGGCCACCAGCAGGAGAAGGGCAUCACUGUCCAAGGCCUCAUACCAGGCACCCACUCCCUGGAUGCCAACUUGUAGCGGGUACCAGAGGAAAGCUGGCAACAGGCACUCCUGGCCUCCCCAUGCAUCCCAGGCUGGUACCUCGUCUUCUGCAGGUGGAGUUAUUGGCUACCCUUCCCCCCAUGCACCCUCCCUGUCUGCACUGUCCAGGCCAGAGGGCAGAGCACAGGGGGUUCCUCACACUCUGCCUCCCCUCCCCAGGACAUUCCUAGGCUUGGGGGUUUUCUAUAGGUUUGGAUGGGUGGGUGGUAAAGGAUGGGGACCUUGACAAUAAAGAGAUUGGAUCUAGUCUGCUCUG